rnacentral:misc_RNA from 1 species
GAUGAAGAACGUAGCGAAAUGCGAUAAGUAAUGUGAAUUGCAGAAUUCAGUGAAUCAUCGAAUCUUUGAACGCACAUUGCGCCCCUUGGUAUUCCGAGGGGCAUGCCUGUUCGAGCGUCAUUAUAACCCCUCAAGCUCAGCUUGGUAUUGGGGCCUGCCAUCCUGGCAGCCCUUAAAAUCAGUGGCGGUGCCAUCCGGCUCUAAGCGUAGUAACUCCUCUCGCUAUGGAGUCCUGGUGGAUGCUUUGCCAUUAAUCUUUUAACUUCUAUGGUUGACCUCGGAUCAGGUAGGGAUACCCGCUGAACUUAAGCAUAUCAAUAAGCGGUGGA